UCCUAAAGGGAAAUAACUGAGUCCUUUGGAGCUGAAAAUGAAAAACUGAGUAGCUGGUGGAAGAAGCGAGAUGGGUUUGGAACUCACAGGCUAUGUUUCUGGAUGCAUCACAUUUGCAAGAGGGAAGUUUUGGUGUCCCUGUGGGUAUAUUAGCACUCCUUUACUCCAUUUCUCUGUAGCUACUCAAGCAAGUGACAAGUAAGUAUGUUGAGACCACAUGUGACAUAUAAAUUACAAGUUCUCCUGCCCCUCUAAAAGUUUAUUCAGCAUCAACCUUUGCACCAACACACUAAGGCAUAAUAGCUGAUAAUUUAUGAGUGUAAUUUGAAGGAAGCAAUUCUGUUUUGUGAUUAUGGUAGUAAAUAAAAGAUUCAAAUCCUCAUUGACACACCAUGAAAUUCAGCUUUACUUUUUUUUUUUUAACCUUGAUAUUGUUUAUGGAAAGAAGGCUGCAGAGUCCAAGAAAGGUGACAGAUAUGAAGAAAUGCAGUGGUUGCAAAGGACAAAGACAAUGGCAACACAAAUAAAAGAAAUUAUGAGAAGGAAAUAAAUAUUAAAAAAAAAACCCAAACGUUUGUUGAUGUAAACUGAAAAUAAAUUUGGAAUG
rnacentral:lncRNA from 1 species